CCUACGGUGGGCAGCAGUGAGGAAUAUUGGUCAAUGGACGAGAGUCUGAACCAGCCAAGUAGCGUGAAGGAUGACUGCCCUAUGGGUUGUAAACUUCUUUUAUAUGGGAAUAAAAUGUUCCAAGUGUGGGAUUUUGUAUGUACCAUAUGAAUAAGGAUAGGCUAAAUCCGUGCCAGCAGCCGCGGUAAUACGGAGGAUACGAGAGUUAUCCGGACUUCUGGGGUUUAAAGGGAGCGUAGGUGGAUUGUUAAGUCAGUUGUGAAAGUUUGCGGCUCAUCCGUAAAAUUGCAGUUGAAACUGGCAGUCUUGAUUACAUUAGAGGUGGGCGGAUUUCGUUGUGUAGCGUUGAAAUGCUUAGAUAUCACGAAGAACUCCGAUUUCGAAUGUAGCUUACUGGACUGCAACUGACACUGAGGCUCGAAAGUGUGGGUAUCAAACAGGAUUAGAUACCCUAGUAGUC
rnacentral:rRNA from 1 species